GGCGCUCGGUCAAUGACAGUGCAACGGAAAUUCCGUAUCUGGCGUUGUCAGUUUUCUUGGCUCUGUCCAUGGUAAACCUGGUGUUUCUGUUGAUGCAGUG